UACAGAGGUCCGAGCGUUGUUCGGAUUCACUGGCGUAAAGGGUGCGUAGGUGGCUUGAAAGUUUGAUGUGAAAGCUCAGGCUAACCUGAAAUGGCAUUGAAUACUGUCGGCUGGAGGUUUGGAGGGGGACUGGAAUUCUUGGUGUAGCAGUGAAAUGCGUAGAUAUCAAGAGGAACACCAGUGGCGAAGGCGAGUCCCUGGAC
rnacentral:rRNA from 1 species